rnacentral:rRNA from 1 species
UACAGAGGGGGCAAGCGUUGUUCGGAUUUACUGGGCGUAAAGGGCGCGUAGGCGGCCUGGCAAGUGGAAGGUGAAAUCCCUCGGCUUAACCGAGGAACUGCCCUCCAAACUGCUUGGCUUGAGACCGGGAGAGGUGAGUGGAAUUCCCAGUGUAGCGGUGAAAUGCGUAGAUAUCGGGAGGAACACCAGUGGCGAAGGCGGCGAUCUGGGAAGAUACUGACGCUGAGGUGCGAAAGCGUGGGGAGCAAACAGG